UACAGAGGUCCCAAGCGUUGUUCGGAUUCAUUGGGCGUAAAGAGCUCGUAGGCGGUCUGUCGCGUCGAUCGUGAAGACUUGGGGCUUAACCCUGAGCUUGCGGUCGAUACGGGCAUGACUGGAGUUCGGCAGGGGAGACUGGAAUUCCUGGUGUAGCGGUGAAAUGCGCAGAUAUCAGGAGGAACACCGGUGGCGAAGGCGGGUCUAUGGGCCGAUACUGACGCUGAGGAGCGAAAGCGUGGGGAGCGAACAGG
rnacentral:rRNA from 1 species